CCUACGGGAGGCAGCAGUGGGGAAUAUUGCACAAUGGGCGAAAGCCUGAUGCAGCAACGCCGCGUGAGCGAUGAAGGCCCUCGGGUCGUAAAGCCUUGUUCUCAAGGAAGAUAAUGACGGCACUCGAGGAGGAAGCGCCGGCUAACUACGUGCCAGCAGCCGCGGUAAUACGUAGGGUGCUAGCGUUAUCCGGAAUUAUUGGGCGUAAAGGGUGCGUAGGUGGUUUCUUAAGUCAGAGGUGAAAGGCUACGGCUCAACCGUAGUAGGCCUUUGAAACUGGGGAACUUGAGUGCGGGAGAGGAGAGUGGAAUGCCUAGUGUAGCGGUGAAAUGCGUAGAUAUUAGGAGGAACACCAGUUGCGAAGGCGGCUCUCUGGACUGUAACUGACACUGAGGCACGAAAGCGUGGGGAGCGAACAGGAUUAGAUACCCGUGUAGUC
rnacentral:rRNA from 1 species